rnacentral:misc_RNA from 1 species
ACACCUCAACUCUCAUGGUUUGCCGUGAUGAGCUUGGACUUUGGGGGUCUUGCUGGCCUAUGGUCAGCUCCUCUCAAAUGGAUCAGCUUGCCAGUGUUUGGUGGCAUCGCAGGUGUGAUAACUAUCUACGCUUGUGGUCUCCCACCAGGUAACUCUCAGCAAUGGGGGUUCGCUGGAGCUCAUAAAUGUCUCUCCUCAGUGAGGACAGCUUUUGAAC